UAUGUGAUCGUCUCUCGCAUAUCAAUAAGCGGAGGAAAAGAAACUAACAAGGAUUCCCCUAGUAACGGCGAGUGAAGCGGGAAGAGCUCAAAUUUGAAAUCUUAAAGGGUUUCCCUUUACGAAAUUGUAGUUUAAAGAAGUGUUUUCUGUUGAGGUUUUGGUAAAAGUUCUUUGGAAUAGGACAUCAUAGAGGGUGAGAAUCCCGUAUUUGACCUUUACUUUCAACUUUGUGAUACACUUUCAAAGAGUCGGAUUGUUUGGGAAUGCAGUCCAAAAUGGGUGGUAAAUUUCAUCUAAAGCUAAAUAUUGGCGAGAGACCGAUAGCGAACAAGUACCGUGAGGGAAAGAUGAAAAGAACUUUGAAAAGAGAGUUAAACAGUACGUGAAAUUUGUCAAAAGGGAAGCGUUUGACACCAGUGUUGUUUUUCUGAAAAUCAAUUAAAGAACUGUUUAUGCUAAGUUGUUUAGACUUUAUCAGCUAACUGUUUAGUUUUGAGCUUUUCUUUAAUGCACUUUUCAGUUAACAAGUCAACAUCAAUUUCUUUUGCCUGUAAAAAAGCUUGAGGAAGGUGGCUUGAGAUUCGUCUUAAGUGUUUAUAGCCUCUUGCCUAUGCAGUCGGAGAGAUUGAGGUCAUGCAGCGUAGAUCCUUCGGGGCUAAAUGCAUUUGUGCUAAGUUAUAGCAUUUUAUAGACAACUUGUUGACUAUGAUUUGUCUUGUAGCUUACUCGCUUAUGUUAUUUUACCUACGCUUAGGAUGUUGACACACGCGCGUGCUCG
rnacentral:rRNA from 1 species